rnacentral:sRNA from 1 species
GGGCCAUUGCUGGUCUUGAAUAUCAACUAUGUCGGCAUUCCUUCCAUAGGAAGUUUGUUGUCACAAAGGGUAACAUUGCCCAGAUGUAUCAUGCCCCUGGGAAGAAGCGGGAGUUCAACGCCUUCGUUCUGGACAAGACCUAUUUUGGGCCCUACGAUGAGACCACCUGCAUCGACUGGACGGAUGACUCCAGGUGCUUUGUGGUUGGGAGCAAAGACAUGUCCACCUGGGUGUUCGGAGCCGAGCGCUGGGACAACCUCAUCUACUAUGCACUGGGGGGACAUAAGGAUGCCAUUGUGGCCUGCUUCUUUGAAUCCAACAGCCUGGACCUAUACUCGCUCAGCCAGGACGGAGUGCUGUGCAUGUGGCAGUGUGACACACUCCCCGAGGGCUUGCGGCUGAAGCCCCCUGCGGGCUGGAAAGCAGACCUGUUGCAGCGGGAGCAGGAGGAGGAGGAGGAGGAGGGGGACAGAGAGACCACCAUCCGGGGAAAAGCCACUCCGGCCGAGGAGGAGAAGACAGGAAAAGUGAAGUACUCACGGCUGGCCAAGUACUUCUUCAAUAAAGAAGGAGA